rnacentral:rRNA from 1 species
AUUGAACGCUGGCGGAAUGCUUUACACAUGCAAGUCGAACGGUAGAGGGGGCAACCCCUUGAGAGUGGCGAACGGGUGAGUAAUAUAUCGGAACGUGCCCAGUCGUGGGGGAUAACGUAGUGAAAAUUACGCUAAUACCGCAUACGAUCUAAGGAUGAAAGCGGGGGAUCGCAAGACCUCGCGCGAUUGGAGCGGCCGAUAUCAGAUUAGGUAGUUGGUAGGGUAAAGGCCUACCAAGCCAACGAUCUGUAGCUGGUCUGAGAGGACGACCAGCCACACUGGAACUGAGGCACGGUCCAGACUCCUACGGGAGGCAGCAGUGGGGAAUUUUGGAAAAUGGGCGAAAGCCUGAUCCAGCCAUUCCGCGUGCAGGAUGAAGGCCCUCGGGUUGUAAACUGCUUUUGUACAGAACGAAAAGGUCUCUAUUAAUACUAGGGGCUCAUGACGGUACUGUAAGAAUAAGCACCGGCUAACUACGUGCCAGCAGCCGCCGCGG